AACGAACGCUGGCGGCAUGCCUAACACAUGCAAGUCGAACGAGACCUUCGGGUCUAGUGGCGCACGGGUGCGUAACGCGUGGGAACCUGCCCUUAGGUUCGGAAUAACUCCCCGAAAGGGGUGCUAAUACCGGAUAAUGUCUUCGGACCAAAGAUUUAUCGCCUUUGGAUGGGCCCGCGUUGGAUUAGCUAGUUGGUAGGGUAAAAGCCUACCAAGGCGACGAUCCAUAGCUGGUCUGAGAGGAUGAUCAGCCACACUGGGACUGAGACACGGCCCAGACUCCUACGGGAGGCAGCAGUGGGGAAUAUAGGACAAUGGGCGAAAGGCUGAUCCAGCAAUGCCGCGUGAGUGAUGAAGGCCUUAGGGUUGUAAAGCUCUUUUACCCGGGAUGAUAAUGACAGUACCGGGAGAAUAAGCUCCGGCUAACUCCGUG
rnacentral:rRNA from 1 species